rnacentral:rRNA from 1 species
UACGUAGGGGGCGAGCGUUGUCCGGAUUCAUUGGGCGUAAAGCGCUUUAAGGCGGUUCGGUAAGUCGGGUGUGAAACCUCCAGGCUCAACCUGGAGACGCCACUCGAUACUGCUGUGACUAGAGUUCGGUAGGGGAUCACGGAAUUCCUGGUGUAGCGGUGAAAUGCGCAGAUAUCAGGAGGAACACCGGUGGCGAAGGCGGUGAUCUGGGCCGACACUGACGCUGUAGAGCGAAAGUGUGGGGAGCGAACGGG